CCUACGGGUGGCAGCAGUGGGGAAUAUUGGGCAAUGGGCGCAAGCCUGACCCAGCAACGCCGCGUGAAGGAAGAAGGCUUUCGGGUUGUAAACUUCUUUUCUCAGGGACGAAGCAAGUGACGGUACCUGAGUAAUAAGCCACGGCUAACUACGUGCCAGCAGCCGCUGUAAUACGUAGGUGGCAAGCGUUCUGCGGAUUUACUGGGUGUAAAGGUCGUGUAGGCGGGAAAGCAAGUCAGAUGUGAAAACCACGGGCGUAACCUGUGGCCUGCAUUUGAAACUGUUUUUCUUGAGUACUGGAGAGGCAGGCGGAAUGCGUAGUGUAGCGGUGAAAUGCGUAGAUAGUAGGAGGAACACCAGUGGCGAAGGCGGUAUGCUGGACAGCAACUGACGCUGAGGCGCGAAAGCGUGGGGAGCAAACAGGAUUAGAUACCCGAGUAGUC
rnacentral:rRNA from 1 species